rnacentral:lncRNA from 1 species
CACUUACAUUAUCUUCUUGUUCAACACUCUUACUCUUCAUUUGAAACAAAAGCUUUUAAUUCUUUAAUUUCAUCUCUCAACUCUUGGACUUGAAUUUGCAAGUUAUGAUUGUGCACCAAAGCACUCAACUUUGAAGGAGUCUCACCGAAACCAAGACCUCUUACCCUUCCUCGACGUUCAGGACCAAGUACUCUAGCAACACCAUCAUCUUUAAGGGAGUGUUGGCUAGGAGAGGUAAUCAUCUCUGAACAUGCUUUUAUUUUGUUCUAAUAUUAGGAAAUAAAUUAAUGGGCUAAAAUUAUAAAUAUAAGCUUUGAAUGACCAAAAAUCACGAAAAGCAAUAUUGUUACCAUUGUUUCCCCAGCUGAUUCAUUAAUAGGUUCACCAUUUUUUCGCGUAUGCCAUCGAAUAUAAACAUCAUCUCUCAUUAUGGAAUCUGGGUCUUCACUUUCGGCACGUUGCAUUUCACUUAUUUCAUAUAUGUAAUAACGUAAACGUUUAUAAUUCGUCAAGCAAAUUUAACUUUAAAUUUAACAAUUUUUUACCAUUUCAACUUCUAAACGAGCAAAGCCCUUUCUACUUGUUGUAUGCAUUAAGGUUUGACCUGCUCUCAUCUUUCUGAAUCUUUCACUUUUUUCCUACAACAUCAAUUAGUAAUGUGUAAAAAUUAUUUUUAUUAGGAAUAUAGAGCAGAUGCAGUAAGCAAUUUAGGAAAAAGUAAUGACAGCUUGCCUUAUACUGUUGAGAAUUGCGCUCUUUGACAAAUGCUUGUCAUUCUUCCAUUGAUUCAACAUUAUUGGGCUUGAGGAGAGCAACAGCUCAUGUUAUGCCAAUUGUUUUUCCUUUUUUAUUGAUUACU